AUCAUGAGCGCGAGCGCACUUUGACCCGUGGACGUUGACUUGAGAACCUCGCAGUUAGUGAGUAAACUGACGAAUAUCGGAGCAAGAAUUGUGAGUUUUGUGGAUAAGAGUAGCCGCUUCACUGAGUGAGCCCUCUCAGGAAAACUCCGGUAAGCCUGGUUGCUACAUGCUAAUAGGCUAGGCCUCGUCCGUGAUGAGCUGUUGAUGUAGCUUGUUGUGUGAAGAUGCCUUUCGUUGAGAUACUUCUAAUAAACCAAUCGGAGCUACAGGAAUGUUUCCCAAUAUUUGAACUUAUGGUUUGAACUCACCUCCAUACUAUUGGCGUCAUUGGGAACUGAGUAAACUGACUUUAAACUGACAAAAGAUUGAUGCUAACACUAAUCCGAAGUGUUGCUACCACUACGCUAGCUCAGGUAUUAGCUGUAAUUUGUGAUGUGAGUGCUAACGGGGUAACUGGGUAAGCUAACAUGUCGCUACAGCGACAUGAGAGAAGUAGAGAAGGCAUAUGAUGCAUAUUUGUGUUGAUAUGAUGUCAGGUUGUGAUAAUUGUUUUCUGGUAGCUGAGAUAUAUAAGGUGUUAUAUUGCCCUGCAAUUGUAUAAAUAUUCAAUUGGUUAAAAAUAGUAAUUUAGUACUGUUCAUUUCUGGAUAUAAAGAGUUGAAUAGAGAAAUAUGCUGCAGUAAAAACCCAAAAACAAAUAGUGAUUAAAAGAGCUGUUUAAAUGUAACAAGGCUAAUUGUACAGAAGUAUUGCAAAUAGGAAUGUAUAAAUUAAAUAUUCCAACCUCACCAGGAGUUUAAUGCUCCACUGCUACUCUGCUGACAUCACCACUGAUUUCCUUCCUUUUCUCUUUUUAUGCUGCCAAACAAAACCAGUUUGUUGUGUUGCAGCUGUUGGACGUCAGCGUUUCACUUUCUGACUCUAUUUUAAAAAACACAGUAAGACAAAGUUUAUUAUAUGAAAAAUUGUUUUAAGUGGCUUUACCUCCCUGAUCCUGUUAAAUUCUCUCUCUGACACAACUCUUGAAUGGUCCUCUGAAAGUCGUAGGCCAGAAGUUCGUCGUCUUCAUCGAGGUCAUAAGCUGCAUCCAUCACUUCUGACAUAAUACAGAUAGACGCCUGUCUCCCGGGUGGUGCGGCAGCUCUAGUUUGAGUUUUGUUGUUAUUCUGUUAUGUUCCACACAACAUCCACACACACCAUACUUUUCAGACAUGCACAUCCUACACCACUGAUCUUACUGACUUUCACACCUCAUUUUAUUGUAUCAUUUAUUAUUUAUGUUAAAUAAAAAUGUUAAACUU